rnacentral:rRNA from 1 species
GACGAACGCUGGCGGCGUGCUUAACACAUGCAAGUCGAACGGAAAGGCCCUGCUUUUGUUGCUUUCUCGUUUGCGGAAGGGGUGAGAAUCACGUGUGGGUCAUCCCCUUGUCUGUGUGGUAACUCUAGGAAACUGGGGCUAAUACCCCGGAUAACCUCUAGCUCCGUGUGGUUGUUUGGAAAGUGUUGGCUGUGGUGGCUGGACUCGCGGCUCACCAGCUGUUUGGUGGGGUUGUGGCUUUCCAGGCGUUUGACGGGUAGCCGGCGUGAGAGGGUUAACGGCCACAAUGGGACUGAGAUACGGACCAGACGGGUACGGGAGGCAGCAGUGGAGAAUAUUGCAGAAUGGGGGGAAGCGUGAUGUAGAAGCGUCGCGUGCGGGAUGACGGCCUUCGGGUUGUAAACAGAUUUGGAAUGUGACGAAGAGUGAGUGACGGUAAUGGGUAAAGAAGCAACGGCUAACUACGUG